GCUGCCGUUCCCACCUACUGUCAGCACCCAGCGCCGGUCCCGAUCACUUGGUGCUGUCAGUGGGUGCGAGCGGUGGUUG
ncrna:Eptesicus fuscus (big brown bat) microRNA efu-mir-9198b precursor (efu-mir-9198b-1)